UGCGUAGGUGGCGGGGUAAGUCUGGUGUGAAAGCUCCGAGCUCAACUCAGAAAAGCAUUGGAAACUAUCCCGCUGGAGGGUCGGAGGGGAGACUGGAAUUCUCGGUGUAGCAGUGAAAUGCGUAGAUAUCGAGAGGAACACCAGUGGCGAAGGCGAGUCUCUGGACGACUCCUGACACUGAGGCACGAAAGCUGGGAGCAAACA
rnacentral:rRNA from 1 species